UAUCCUCCUUCCAAAUUUUUCCCGGCUUUUCCCGAAUUUUCCCGGCUUUCCCCUGUCCCCUUUUUCCCAGUUUUUCUCGGUUUUUCCCGGUUUUUCCCAAUUCCCCCUUCCCGCUUUUUCCUGUCCCUCAGAUUUCCCCUCAAAUCCGGCUUUUCCCCGCCACAGAUGUAAAUUUCGGGAAGGGACAAAAUUCUGUGGGAUAUCCGGGAAUGGGAACAGUGGGAUAUUCUGGAAUUCCCAUUUUAUUUUGUAAUGGAAAAAGGAUCAGAACCCCAAAUCUAUCUCUUCUCCUCAGGGGAAAAAAAUCCCAAAAUUCGUCUGGGGAAAAAAGCCCAAAAUUCCCUGCUCUGGGAAGACCCCUUGGAAUGGGUUUGGGGGUUUGGGAGUUUGGGAUUUUGGGGAUUUGGAGGUUUGGGAUUCCCGCAGAUCCUGCAGGCCAAGGUGGGAUGGAAAUUCCAAAUCCAUCUCUUCUCCUCAAGUGGAAAAAAACCCCAAAAUUCGUCUGGGAAAAAAAUCCAAAAAAUUCUCUGCUCCGGGAAGACCCCUUGGAAUGGGUCUGGGAUUUUGGGAUUUGGGGAUUUGGGAUUUGGGGAUUUUGGAAUUUUGAGGAUUUGGGAUUCGGCUCCUGAAGAUCCUGCAGGCCAAGGUGGGGUGGAAAUCCCAAAUCCAUCUCUUCUCCUCAAUGGGAAAAAACCCCAAAAUUCUUCUGGGAAAAAACCCCAAAAUUCCCUGCUCCAGGAAGACCCCUUGGAAUGGGUUUGGGAUUUUGGGGUUUUGGGAUUUUGGGGUUUUGGGAUUUUGGGAUUUGGGGAUUUUGAGGAUUUGGGAUUUUGGGGUUUUGGGGAGUUGGGAUUCCCGCAAAUCCUGCAGGACAAGCUGGGGCGGAAAUCUCAAAUCCAUCUCUUUUCCUCAAUGGGAAAAAAACCCAAAAUUCGUCUGGAAAAAAAGCCCAAAAUUCCCUGCUCCGGGAAGACCCCUUGGAAUGGGUUUGGGAUUUUGGGGGUUUGGGGAUUUUGGAAUUUUGGGGAUUUGGGAUUCGGCUCUUGAAGAUCCUGCAGGCCAAGGUGGGGAGGAAAUCCCAAAUCCAUCUCUUCUCCUCAAUGGGAAAAAA
rnacentral:lncRNA from 1 species